GUCUCGACGCAUGCGCCAAACAGCUCAGUAUCGUGGUUGUCGUGGUCGAGACAGCAUCCGGGUGCUGGAGCCGCCAUAGUGCACUGUCUGCCUACCUUUCGGUGUGCUCCGUGUCGGUCAAACUCUGCGUCGUAGCAUACCACCAGCGGUCCUACUUACACCGUUCGAUCACGCAUCAACAGUGGCAGCGCUUCACGGAGUUACACGCUACGCGUGUUCUCCACGUCAUACCGACUCGGAAGAACGUGACUUUCAGCUACGGGCCUGAAAAAUGUGAGGCACGCUUAGACUUCGCGUGCGGCAGCAGUCAAAUCAACGCGUUCUGGCUGCUACCACCAGAGAUGGUUCGCUGCUCGACCUGCGCAACGGCUCUUUCCGGGGACAUCAUCUUCGUCUCAAGUUGCACUGAUCUCUGCAAUUCGUCCCCCUCCAUUCGAGCUCCUGGAAUAUCUGCAACGCCUCGACCUGCAUUUUAACUCUCGGAGUGUACACGACACGUCACUAUGUACGCUAAUGACUUCCCGGUUAAAAACCCGCGCAGCGUACAAGUCGCCAGUCGUGCCUGCUCGUUUCCUUUUGUUUUUUGUGUUUGUGCGCGUUCCCACCCGUCGAUGACGCCUGGCCUAUGAACUGUGCAUGAAGAACUAUGGCCACGCCGAUUACCGGGGAAUCUGCGGUGCAGCCCAUCGUCACUACGAUCGAGCUUCGCCACAGAGAGCUUCUUCACGAGCUUCGUCAGCGUUCAGCAAGUCCCAUCGCGCGAGGCGGCCAGACGAGGUCUUUGAGGGACAACAAUCAGCAAAAAGCACGGUGAUCUGCGACGACGUCGAUAUGUCGACUGUAAAGCAUCUUGUCGAGGGGAACUUCCUCCGGACCGAUCGGCCUCAGCGAACGCUGGGAAGACUUGGCGCUCAAGCGACUGUCCCCG